rnacentral:misc_RNA from 1 species
UUCUAGCCCACGAACACACGGGAGGCGGCCCAUGACCCCAAGACACCACUCUAUGGCAAUCGCAUGAUGGCCACAGGCCCACGCACGCACGCACAAAGGCUGCCCACCUCACUCCCAGAUGCCGACCUCCAUGAAUCCGUCCUCGGUGGCGCACCCUCUGAACAUGCCGGUGCAGUUGAACCCGUACGCCACCUCGCCCGUGCUGGACACGGCGAUGAGCCCCGCGAACCCUUCGUCGAGCCGCUUCUUGACGCAGUAGUCGACGGCCUCCUGCAGCCCGGCGCCCCUGUACUCCAUCACGGCGGCGACGUCGCGCGCGAGCGUGGAGCGGAUGAUGGCCUCGCCUUCCCCCGUG